GGUAAUACCAGAUGACAUAACCUGUAGGCAUCUACGGGUUCUCAAAGGUCCGCCGGUCCGGGAGCAGGCGAUUUCGUAUCAGCUAGUUGGUGAGGUAACGGCUCACCAAGGCGACGACGCGUAGCCCGGACUGAGAGGUUGGCCGGCCACAUCGGGACUGAGACACUGCCCGGACUCCUACGGGGGGCUGCAGUAACGAAUCUUCCCCAAUGCACGCAAGUGUGAGGGAGCGACGCCGCGUGUGGGACGAAGUCCUUCGGGAUGUAAACCACUGUCAGGGGAUACCAAGUUCUGAGGAUCCCCAGAGGAAGGGGCGGCUAACUCUGUGCCAGCAGCCGCGGUAAGACAGAGGCCCCAAGCGUUAGGCGGAAUCACUGGGCUUAAAGCGUGUGUAGGCGGACGCCUAAGUGUCUUGUGAAAUCCCACGGCUCACCCGUGGAACUGCUGGGCAUACUGGGCGUCUUGGGCCAACUAGGGGCAGUCGGAACAAGCGGUGGAGCGGUGAAAUGCGUAGAUAU
rnacentral:rRNA from 1 species